rnacentral:lncRNA from 1 species
GGGGAAGCACUGCGCCGCCCCUGCAUGCCCUGCAUCCUCGGGUCCUGGGAGGGCUGCUCAGUAACUGGAAGGAAAAUGAAACUGAAAAAGAGCAAGGGUCCCGUAGGAUUGAACACAGUUGGUGAACCUUGGGCCGUCUGCCUCAAGUCCCCGCUUGGCAAAACCACUCCCUCCUGGUGGACGCCCUCACCAUGAAGGUUUGAGUUUCAGGCACUGUGACUGACUUCCUGCCACA